rfam:Wenyingzhuangia fucanilytica strain CZ1127, complete genome.
UGCGGCCGGGCAAGUCCUACACAACUAGCUCCCUCGGAAUCCCCCAGGGCGGGAACGCAGCAAGGGUACUUGGUUGUAGCGGUGUGAUGUAGGCAGCUUGCCCUUUU